rnacentral:rRNA from 1 species
UGGGGAAUCUUGCACAAUGGGCGAAAGCCUGAUGCAGCGACGCCGCGUGCGGGAUGAAGGCCUUCGGGUUGUAAACCGCUUUCAGCAGGGACGAGGCCGCAAGGUGACGGUACCUGCAGAAGAAGCAACGGCUAAAUACGUGUCAGCAGCCGCGGUAAUACGUAUGUUGCGAGCGUUAUCCGGAAUUAUUGGGCUUAAAGGGCAUCUAGGCGGUAAGACAAGUUGAAGGUGAAAACCUGUGGCUCAACCAUAGGCUUGCCUACAAAACUGUUGAACUAGAGUACUGGAAAGGUGGGUGGAACUACACGAGUAGAGGUGAAAUUCGUAGAUAUGUGUAGGAAUGCCGAUGAUGAAGAUAACUCACUGGACAGAAACUGACGCUGAAGUGCGAAAGCUAGGGGAGCAAACAGG